rnacentral:rRNA from 1 species
ACNGUGUCCCACCCAUACAAGAGGAGCNUGUCCUAUNAUCGNCACCCCACGCUAUACCUUACCCCCCCUAGCCAACCAACCUAUAUACCGCCGUCGCCAGCUCACACUGUGAAUGCACCACCGUAAGCACAAUCAUCACCCAUUAAAACGACAGGUCAAGGUGUAGUUAAUGGGGGGGCAGCGAUGGGCUACAUUUUCUUCACUAGAAAAUACCACCCGCACCAUGAAACCUUUGCCCACAGGUGGAUUUAGAAGUAAGCCCUGACAAGACAUGUCAACCUGAAAUACGCCCUGGGACG